rnacentral:lncRNA from 1 species
GUUUCACUUAAUUUGUAUUAACUGUUCUGGUGUCUUCAUUUUUGACGUGCUGUUUUAUUUGUAUUAUUUUGUGAUAUCUUUUACUUUACUAGUCUUCCCUUGAGCUUUUCGGAUCCUAUAAUAUUUCCUUUUUAAUUUUUUUAUUAGUUCAAAUUAGGAACAAGCUUGUUUCACAUGUCAAUCCUUUCCCCCUCUCCCUACCCUCAAUCCCCAAACCUCCUUCCCCACUCCCGACCUACCCCCCACCCUAUUGACCCUUCACUCCCCAGGCAGGGUAGGGCCCUCAACGGGGGCUCCACAAACCACCACACCAUCCUGGGCUGGGUCUGGGACCUGGCCCAUAUGUCCAGGACAAGAGUACAUUCCUUCAUGUGGGAUGGGCUCCCAAAGUCCCCUCCUACACCAGGGAAAAAUACUAAUCCACUACCAGGGUCCCCCUGGAUUGCAGAGGCCUCCUCAUUGACAUCCAUAUUCAGGGAUCUGGAUCAGUCCUGUACUGGCCUCCCAGACAGCAUCUGGGGUCGAUGUGCUCCCCUUGUUCCGGCCAGCUGUUUCUGCGGGUUUCUCCAACUUGGUACCAACACCUUCGAUCUUCAUUCCUCCCAUUCUUCAACUAAGUUCCAGAGUUUAGUUCAGUGUACAUCUGUGGAUGUCUGCUUCCAUCAGCCACUGGAUGAGGGCUCUAGGGUGGUAUAAAAAAUAGUCAUCAAUCCCUUUUUAGGGGACGGGCGUUUAGGUUAUCCUCUCCACCAUUGCCUGGAUUGUCAGUUCCUGACAUCCCUGUAGGUCACUGGGAAUCUCCCUAGUGCCUGAUCUCUCUUCGGACCUAUAAUGGCUCCCUCUAAUAUGGUAUCUCUCAUCCUGCUCUCUCUCCUCUAUUCUUCACCCAACUCAAUAUUCUGCUCCUCCAUUUCCCCUCCUCCACUUCUAUUCUCCUGCUCUCAUUCUGGCAGCUCCCUCCCCCCUACCCUCAUGCUCCCAAUUAGCUCAGGAGUUCCUGCCCCUUCCCAUUCAUUUAUCCCAUAGAGUCUUUCAUGGUUCCUAGUUUCUUUGGUAAAGAGGAUUAUAGGCUGGUAAUCCUUUGCUCUAUGUCUAGAAUUCAUAUAUGAGUGAAUACAUACCAUGUUUGUCCUUUUGUGACUGGGUUACCUCACUCAGGAUGGUUUCUUCUAGUUCCUUCCAUUUGCCUGCAAACUUCAAGAUUCCAUUGCUUUUUUUGUUGAGUAGUACUCCAUUGUAUAAAUGUACCACAUUUUCUCUAUCCAUUCUUCAGUUGAGUGACUGGGUGACCUCACUCAGGAUGGUUUAUUCUAGUUCCUUCCAUUUGCCUGCAAACUUCAAGAUUCCAUUGCUUUUUUUGUUGAGUAGUACUCCAUUGUAUAAAUGUACCACAUUUUCUCUAUCCAUUCUUCAGUUGAGGGGCAUCUAGGCGGCUUCCAGGUUCUGGCUAUUCCAAAAAAUGCUGCUAGGAACGUGGUUGAACAUAUGUCCUUGUUGUAUGAAUGUGCAUUAUUUGUGUAUAUGCCCAAGAGAGGAAUGGCUGGAUAUUGAGGUAGACUGAUUCCCAUUAUUCUGAGCAACUGCCAUACUGAUUUCCAGAGUGGUCUUACAAGUUCUCACUCCCACCAGCAAUGGAGGACUGUUCCUUUUUCUCCACAUCCUCUCUAGCAUAGAUUGUCAUUGGUAUUUUUUAUUUUAGCCAUUCUGACAGGUGUGAGGUGGUAUCUCAGAGUUGUUUUGAGUGCAUUUCUCUGAUGGCCAAGGAUUUUGAGCACUUUCUUAAGUGUCUUUCAGCCAUUUCAGAUUCCUCUGUUGAGAAUUCCCUAUUUAGUUCUGCACCCCACUUUUUAAUUUCAUUGUUUGGUGUUUUGGUGGCUAGCUUCUUGAUCUCCUUAUAUAUUUUGGAAAUCAGUCCUCUGUCAGAUGUGGGAUCAGUGAAGAUCUUUUCCCAUUCUGUGGGUGGUCAUUUUGUCUUACUGACUGUGUCCUUUGCCUUGCAGAAGCUUCUCUGUUUCAGGAAGUCUCAUUUAUUAAUUGCAGACCUCAGUGUCUUUACUACUGGAGUAAUGUUCAAGAAGUGGUCUCCUGUGUCAAUUUGUUCAAGGGUAACUCCCACUUCAUCUUCUACAAGAUUCAGUGUGACUGGAUUUAUUGUGAGAUCUUUGAUUCAUGUGCACUUAAGUUUUGUGUAUGGUGACAGUUAUGGAUCUAUCUGCAAUCUUCUGCAUGUCUGAAUCCAGUUGUGACAGCACCAUUUUUUGAAGAUGCUAUCUUUUUUUCCAUUGUAUAGAUUUUAUUUUCGAGACUGGGUUUCCCUGUGGCUUUGGAGGCUGUCCUGGAACUAGCUCUUGUAAACCAGGCUGGUCUCGAACUCACAGAGAUCCACCUGUCUCUGCCUCCCAAGUGCUGGGAUUAAAGGCAUGGCGCUUCCACAGCCUGGCGUUUUAGCAUCUUUGUCAAAAAUAAGUUGUUCAUAGGUGUGUGGAUUAAUAUCAGGGUUUUCAAUUCGAUUCCAUUGGUCUAUCUGUCUAUUUUUGUGCCAAUACCAAGCUGUUUUCAGAAAUAUGUCUCUAUAAUAGAGCUUAAGUCAGGGAGGGUGAUGCCUCCAGAAGAUCCUUUAUUGUACAGAGUUGUUUUCCCUAUCCUGUUUUUUUUAUUUUUCCAUAUAAAGUUGAGUAUUGUUCUUUCAAUGACUGUGAAGAACUGUGUUGGGAUUUUGAUGAGGAUUGCAUUGAAUCUGUAGAUUACUUUUGACAAGAUUAACAUUUUUACUAUGUUGAUUCUACCUAUCCAAGAGCAUGGGAGAUGUUUCCAUUUUCUGGUAUCUUCUUUAAUUUAUUUCUUUAAAGACUCACUGUUCUUAUUCUACAGGUCUUUCACUUUUUUGGUUAGUGUUACCCCAAGAUAUUUUAUGUGGAUAUUGUGAAGAGUGAUGUUUCCCUGUUUUCUUUUACAUUGAAUUUAUCAUCUGUAUAUAGUAGGGCUACUGAUUUUUUUUAGUUAAUUUUGUAUCCUGCUACCUUGCUGAAGGUGUUUAUCAGCUGUAGGAGUUCUCUGGUAGAGGUUUUCAGGUCACUAAUAUAGACUAUCAUAUCAUCUGCAAAUAGUGAAAGUUUGACUUCUUUCUUUCUAAUUUGUAUACCAUUGAUCCCACUCUAGCUAGAACUUCAAGUACAAUAUUGAAGAGAUAUGGAGAGAGUGGACAGCCUUGUCUUGUACCUGAUUUUAGAGGAAUUGCUUUGAGUUGCUUUCCAUUUAGUUUGAUGUUGGCUGUUGGUUUGGUGUAUAUUGCUUUUAUAAUGUUCAGAUAUUUUCCUGUUAUUCCUGUUCUCUCCAAGAUCUUUAUCAUGAAGGAAUGUUGUAUUUAUCAAAGGCUUUUUGAGCAUCUAGUGAGAUGAUCAAAGUUUUCCUUUUUCAGUUUGUUUAUAUGUUGGAUUACAUUGAUGGAUUUUCAUAUGUUGAACCAUCCUUGCAUCCCUGGGAUGAAGCCUACUAAAUCAUAGUGGAUGAUUUUUCUGAUGUGCUCUUGGAUUCGAUUCACCAAUAUUUUGUUGAGUAUUUUUGCAUAGAUAUUCAUGAAGUAUAUUGGUGUGUAUUUCUCAGUUUUAGUCCUAUAUUUGUGUGGCUUGAGUAUCAAAGUGAUUGUAGCCUCGUAAAAAGUGUUUGGCAAUGUCCCUUCUGCUUCUAUUGUGUGGAACAGUUUAAGGAGUACUGAUAUUAGCUCUUGCUUGAAUUUCUGGUAGAAUUCUGCAGUGAAGCCAUCUGGCCCUGGGCUUUAUUUGGUUGGGAGGCUUUUGAUGACUGUUUCUAUUUCAUUAGUGGUUAUAGGUCGAUUUAAACUGCUUAUCUGUUCUUAGUUUAAUUUUGGUAAGUGAUAUCUAUCCAGAAAACUGUCCAUUCCCUUUAGAUUUUUGAAUUUUGUGGAGUACAGGUUUUCAAAGUAUGACCUGAUGAUUCUCUGGAUUUCCUCACUGUCCAUUGUUAUAUCCCUCUUUUCAUUUCAGAUUUUGUUAAUUAGCAUGCUCUCUCUCUCUGCCUUUUGGUUAGUUUGGAUAGAGGUUGUCUAUCUUGUUGAUCUUCUCAAAGAAGCUACUCUUUGUUUCAUUGAUUCUUUGUAAUGUUUUUCUAGUUUCUACUUCAUUGAUUUUGACCCUCAUAUUUCCUGUCGUCUAUUCCUCCUUGGUGAGUUUGCUUAUUUUUGCUCUAAAGCUUUCAGUUGUUCUGUCAAUUCUCUAGCAUGGCUUUUCUCCAGUUUUUAAUGUGAGCACUUAGUGCUAUGAACUUUCCUCUUAGCACUGCUCUCAGAAUGUCCCAUAAGUUUGGGUAUGUUGUGUCUACAUUCUCAUUAAAUUCUAGGAAGUCUUUAAUUUCUUUAUUUAUUUCUUCCUCACCCCAGGAAUGGUGCAAUUGGGUGUUAUUCAGUUUCCACAAAUAUGUAGGUUUUCUGCAAUUUGUAUUGCUGUUGAAUUCUAGCUUUAAAGCAUGGUGAUCUGAUAAGAUACAGGGGGUUACUUCAAUUCUUUUGUAAACUGUGGAGGUUUGCUUUGCUGCCAACUAUGUGGUCAAUUGUAGAGAAGGUUCCAUGUGGUGCUAAGAAGGUAUAUUCUUUUGUGUUUGGAUGGAAUGUUCUACAGAUAUCUGUUAAGCCCAUCUGAGUCAUACCUUCUGUCAUAUCUUUUGUUUCUUUCUUAAAUUUCUGUCUGGUGGUCCUUUCUGGUGGUGAAAAGGGGGUGUUGAAGUCUCCUACUAUAAGUGUGUGUGGUUUUAUGUGUGGUUUGUGUUUUAGCAAUGUUUCUUUUACAAAUGUUCCUGCCUUCCUAGUUGGGGCAUGGAUAUUCAGGAUUGAGACUUCAUCUUGAUGGACUUUUCCUGUGAUGAGUAUGAAAUGCCCUUCUUCAUCUCUUUUGAUUGAUUUUAGUUUGAAGUCUAAUUUGUUAGAUAUUAGGAUUGACACACCCACUUGUUUCUUGGGCCCAUUUGAUUGGAAAAUCUUUUCCCAAUGUUUUACUUUGAGGUAACGCCUGUCUUUGAAGUUGAGGUAUGUUUCUUUUAAACAGCAGAAGGAUGGAUUCUGUCUUUGUAUCCAUUCUGUUAGCCUAUAUAUUUUUAUGGGUCAGUUAAGACCAUUCACAUUGAGCGAUAUUAAUGUCUAUUGAUUGUUGGUUCUUGUUUGUUUUGGAUUUAUUGUUGGUGGUAUCAUUGUGUGUGGAUUUUGCCCUCCUGAGUCUUUUGUGUUUGGUAAAAUUGGAUUAUCUAUUGCCUAUGUUUUUGUGAGUGUAGUUAUAUUCGUUGGGUUGGAGUUUUCCUUCUAGAAUCUUCUGUAGUGCUGUAUUUGUGAAUAUAUACUGUGUAAAUCUUUUUUAUGGAAUAUCUUGUUUUCUCCAUCUAUAGUGAUUGAAAGUUUUGCUGAGUACAGUAGUCUGGGUUGACAUCCGUGCGUGUAGGAUAUCUAUCCAAGACCUUCUGUCUUUCAGAAUUUCCCUUGAGAAGUCAGGUGUGAUUCUGAUAUGUCUGCCUUUAUAUGUUACAUGGCCUUUUUCCUUUGCUCCUCUUAAUAUUUUCUCUUCUUUAUUCUGUAGGUGUUUUGAUUAUUAUGUGUCGGGGGGACUUCUUUUUGUGGUCCAGUCUGUUUGGUGUUCUGUAAGCUUCUUGUACUUUCAUAGGCAUAUCCUUCUGUAUGUUGGGGAAGUUUUCUUCUAUGAUUUUGUUGAAUGUUUUCUGUACCUUUGAUCAGUGUUUCUUCACCUUCUUCUAUACCUGUUAUUCUUAGUUUUGGUCUUUUCAUGGUGUCCCUUAUUUCCUGGAUAUUUUGUGUUAGGGAUUUGUUGGACUUGAGAUUUUCUUUGGUCGAUGACGCUAUAUCCUCUAGCAAGUCUUCAAUAACUGAGAUUUUCUCUUCCAUUUCUUGAAUUCUAUUAGUUAUACUCACAUCUUUAGUUCCUGAUUGUUUAUCCAGCCUUUCCAUUUCCAGCAUCACCUCAUUCUGUGUUUUCUUUAUUGUGUCUAUUUCAGCUUUCAUGUCUUAAACUGUUUCGAGUUCUUCCUUCACUUGUUUGGUUGUUUUUUCUUGGGUUUCUUUCGAUUCUUUAAGAGAUUUGUUUAUUUCUUGAAUUUUUUGGUUUGUCUUUUCCUCCAUUUCAUGUAAUUUUUUGCUUGCUUUUUCUUCUAUUUCUUUAAGGGAUUUUCUUGUUUCCUCUUUAAAGGUCUCUAUCAUCUUGCCGAGAUAAUUUUUGAGGUCCAUCUCGCCUUCAUCUUUUGGGUCGAGCUUUUCAGAUCUUGCUGGUGUGGAGUUCCUAGAUUCUGGUGGUGUCAUAUUGGUCUUUCUGUUGUUGAGUGAGUUCUUAUUCUGUCUUCUUCCCAUAUCUUAUUCCAGUGGGUGCAGGUUGGGUCUUUCUAUCUCCUCUUGUCACCCCAUGGUGUGUGGGGGCCAGGUGUGUGUCCGUAGCUCUGGAUGGUCUUGCCUCUCCUGGUAGUCUCCUCACUCCGAAGGGGUUAGGCUUAAUAAGAUAUGGGAAGUAGGGGUCGGGUGGACAGCAGGGUAAGGAAGAGUGUGGUGUUUCCAGACUCAGGGAGCCUCUUCCUGGUUGGGUGGGUCUACUCAAAGCAGGAGCAGGCCCAGAGAGAUCGGGAUGAAUGCGGCUUUGGACAGGAGUUGGGCAACAGCAGAGGGUCACUCACCUUGGUAUGGGACAGGACGGCGGACUAGGAAGGAAGAGUGAGGUGUUCCCAGACUCAGGGAGCUUCUCCCUGGCUGGGUGGGUCUACUCGAAGCAGCAGCAGGCACAGAGAGAUUGGGGUGAAUGGGGCUUUGGACAGGAGUUGGACAAGAGCAGAGGGUUCUCAUCUUGUUAUGGGUCAACUCAGCAGAGCAGGAAGGAAGAGUGAGGUGUUUCCAGAUUCGGGGAGUUCCUCCCUGGCUGGGUGGGUCUACUCCAAGCAAGCACAGGCCCAGAGAAAUCAGGGUGAAUGGGGCUUAGGAGAGGAGUUGGGCAAGAGCAGAGGGUCACUCACCUCGGUAUUGGACAGGUCAGCAGAGUGGGAAGGAAGAGUGAGAUGUUUCCAGACUCAGAGAGCUCCCCCCUGGCUGGGCAGGUCUACUCCAAGCAGGAGCAGGUCCAGAGAGAUCGGGGUGAAUGUCCCUACGUAGGAGUCAGGUCGGCGGAGUGGAAAGGAAGAGCUCCUAUAGUAUUUCUAAAGAACUCUUUUAUUUUAUUUCAAAAUUUAGACCUGCCAGUUGGCAUGUUCAUGAUUUUCCCACAUUGGGCAAAUAUAUUUCUUUGAUCCUAUUUCUUUUUUACUUUAAUUAGAAAGAUUAUUUUACAUUUCAAUGGAAGGUCCCUCUCCCUCCCCUCCUCUGCUACACCCCUACUAAUACCCUACCUAUCCCAUACCUUAUCUGCUCCCCACAGAGGGUGAGGCCUUCUGUAGGGAGUCUUCAGAGUUUGUCAUAUCCUUUGGGAUAGGGCCUAGGCCCACCCCUAUGUCUAGGCUCAGGGAGUAACCCUCCAUGUGGGAGGGAGUCCCAUUCCUAUGGAAGGGAUAAGUACUGAUCCACUACAAAAGGCCCAAUAGAUUUCGGAGGUCUUCUCACUGAUACCCUCAUUAAGGGAGUCUGGAUCAGCCCCAUGCUAAUGCUAGUUUCCCAACUAUCAGUGUGAGGACCAAGAGUUCUCCCUUGUUCAGGUCAGUUGUUUCUGUGAGUUUCACUAGCCGUGUCUGGACCCCUUUGUUCAUUAGUUCUCCUUGUCUGCAUCUGGAUUUCAGUUCAGUUCAAGGUUCAGCUGUUGGUGUCUUCUUGUACUUCCACCAGCUGCUGGAUGAAAGCUAUAGGAUGGCAUAUGAAUUAGUCAUCAAUCUCAUUAUCAGGGGAGGGCAUUUAAGUUAGCCUCUCCUCUGUUGCUUAGAUUGUUGCUUUGAUUAGGUGAUGUCAUCUUUGUAGCUCUCCAGACAUUUCCCCAGUG